AGCUAUUGACUUUUAAAAUAAGGGUCCUCUGUAGACGCUCGAUGUAAUUGCAUACAUGUACGUUCAGCAGAACACCAAGUUUGAACGUGGCGAGGGUACGAAGACGAGGAGAGUGCUAACUAUUCAUGAGAAUGCUGCUGAACCAGACAGAGUA